rnacentral:rRNA from 1 species
AGAUUGAACUGAAGAGUUUGAUCCUGGCUCAGAUUGAACGCUGGCGGCAUGCUUUACACAUGCAAGUCGAACGGUAACAGGGUGCUUGCACCGCUGACGAGUGGCGAACGGGUGAGUAACGCAUCGGAAUGUACCGUGUAAUGGGGGAUAGCUCGGCGAAAGCCGGAUUAAUACCGCAUACGCCCUGAGGGGGAAAGUG